CAGUUAUAUGCAACGCUUGACACAGUCGCUCUGCACUCAGAUAAUUCGAAAAAGAAACGAGAUGAAGAACGCCCUGGACAAUCUGAGUAUGCGAGUAUUGACUUCGGCAAGAUUGGGAAGGCUGACGAAGAGUGAACCAUAUGGAGUGAACUCAACUGUAGAUGGCGAGUAGUAAGUGUGUUUUGGGUCGAAAGUAUAAUUACGUUUUGUAUAACAUUUAGUAUACCACAAGUAGAAAAUAAUUUGCAUAAGUUUCGGAUCAAAAAUAAUUACUCUUUGUAUAAUACAGUGGCGGACAACCUCUCUGUGUAUUGUAUAACUCAUGCAGUGUUCGUAGCGGUCUUUGAAAUCCUCGAAAGUCUUUAAAUUUGAAUGUAGGGUCUUUGAAAGGUCUAUGAAUUGUACGAAAACGUGAAAAAAGUCUUUCAUUUUGUUAGUGAGUAUUGCUACUCUUUCCUUCGCAGAGGCUUUUAAAGGACUAAUUCAGAAAGAAUUUCGUAAUCGCGCUAGAAGAUAAGAAAGGUGAAAGUAACCGCUAAAAUUAGGUGUGCAGGCGCGGGAGAGAAGGGAGGGAAAACGAGAAAGUUAGCGAAAGUCUCUGCCCGAUUUGUCAGCCAAUAUGACGUCAAAUCGGGGGUUGAAAUUUCUAAUGUUAUUUGGACGAUAAGAUAAAUGGCUCUGCUUUCAUAGUAGAGCCAGACAGAUGAUUUUUAUAAAACCGCAAUAAUUUAAAUCGGAAUGCCAGAAUUGGCUUAAGCAGUCGAAAAAAUACUCAUUGCCAUUCUUGAUUAAGGUUAAAUGAAUGGAAUAAUAUAAUGGAGACAGUUUUGGCUUGUCCGAUUUUCUCUGGAGGCCGCGCAGAAUAUUUGUUAUUAUAACAACGCGUAGCCGUGGCAAAUUUCGAAACCGUCGACGGUCGAGCACAUCAUUGAUAGUCGAACACAUCAUAAAUCUCGUUCCCAGAUUACCCCAGCGGUAAUUAGCGCAUGGAACCAUUUGGUGACAUCUUACACCAAGUCGAUGCCAGUAAAGAUUUCGCGCGGUAUGAUAAUAUAAGGUUUCAAAUUUUUGAAAAGAUGAAAGUUGACAGGGUGGGUUAGGAUAAUACAGUUAAGAAAGUAAUAUCACAAUUGUUGUAAAGAUAAAAUAGUCUAGACUAAGUGUGUAAUUAGGUAAGCGUAAUACUUGAUGUAAAGCGAAUUUGAUCUUAUCCACAUGUAAAUUUGCGCUAUAGAAAUUGUAAUCGUAUUUUAAUGUUGGUGUCGUAAAAUAGUUUGAAUAAGAUAUAGAAAAUCAUCUCAGAACGAGAUAAGAUCACGUGGAAGUAAAGAUUGUUCCUCAAGCUUGUUCGUAGCCGCGCAUGGGGGUCCUUUGACGUUUAGAAUUGAUUUCCGGUGUUUCCAGACUCGUAGGAUACAAGACUCAUUGUUUUCGUCGAGUAAAGUUGUACUUAUGGGUCAGACGCAUCACUACAGACUCAAAUACAGAAAUAAAGGAUGAAAAUCAGAAGAUGCAAGCUCAAAAAUAACACUCUAAUGAUGUGAACAAGACUACUACGAAGAAGAUACGUUUCAAGGGCUCGAAGUAAUGUUCGGCGAAAGGUAUGGACUACGGCUAGUUCAUAUUUUUCUCAGAAAAUUGAGUAAUUUGAUAAUAUACGUCCUCGCUUGACUCCCAAAGACAUAAAUCGCUACAAGUUUGAUAUUGACUAAAACUAUCGACAGGAAUUAGGAGAUAAAUUUUCCCUGAAUCGAGUGGUGGUAUUUUCGUCUUAUAGCAUGCACCGAACCGAAGAAGAUAUGAACCUGCAAAGGUCGUAUUGCACCGGUGCAAUGCGAUACAGGACUGGUUGAGAAAGAUUAAGGACAGUUUACCAGACGCAGAUCAGACUGCAAUGAGUAAAACAGCUGCUGGGAUAUGGAAGAGAUGCUCUCCUCGAAAGGUUGGUUUGAGUUUGGUUUACCAUGGCAUGCACCGGACUGAAGAAGAUAUGAACCUGCAAAGACAUAUUGCACCUGUUCAAUGAGUUACAGGGAGACCGGUUGAAAAAGAUUGAGGACAGUUUACCAGAUGCAGAUCAGACUGCAAUGAGUAAAACAGCUGCUGGGAUAUGGAAGAGAUGCUCUCCUGAUGUUCGAAAGAUUGGUUUGAGUUUGAUUUACCAUAAACCUUAGAUUACCUCCCCCUGAUUGGCAUGGGGGAGUAAUGUAUGAGACUUAUAUACGGACGUUACUAUUGAAUCGAAAGAUAGUAGUUUUGUCCUUGUUGGCUUCGUAGAACCGGAGAAAAGGCACAGCAAAGUUUCCCGAUCCCGGAGUCGGAAAAUCAUAGCGUCCGGAGAUAAAGAGAUUAAACUCGUGAUGUUAGUUAUAUUUUUGAUUUUGGAAAUUGGAGAUUACCUGACAAAGAAGCACGUCCAUCAAUGAUGUGAUCGCGACCGUCGACUAUUUCGAAAUUUGCGUACACAACUUAAUGGGAAAAUCGUUAUAUCCCAAGAACGAUAGAAUUUACAAUAAAAUCAUUCAAUGUGUUAGGUUUAAAAGCACGAAAUAUAGAAGUCUAGAAAUUUGUACCUGGAGGCUGCGCAGAACAUUUGUUGGUGCUACAGUGUUAAACCGUCCGACAGAGGCAGACACCCAAAUAUAAAAAUAAAAUCGUUAUUUUUAUUUUUAUUAGCGUAAGGAAAAUUCAACAAAGCAAUCCAGACAUUUUCCACUUGUUCUGUAUCAUAGGCCGCCGUAUAUAAAUAUGAAGAACCUAGACACUUGUCGCGGACAUAAUGUGGCAUUUCCCCAAACUGACUGGACAUAUUCCUUAACGGUUUAAUGCUGUUCUUGACUGGAUAUCAAAGCAAUAGAUUUUAUCAUUUUUCAGCUUUCCA